AACGAACGCUGGCGGCAUGCCUAACACAUGCAAGUCGAACGAGACCUUCGGGUCUAGUGGCGCACGGAUGCGUAACGCGUGGGAACCUGCCCUUAGGUUCGGAAUAACUCCCCGAAAGGGGUGCUAAUACCGGAUAAUGUCUUCGGACCAAAGAUUUAUCGCCUUUGGAUGGGCCCGCGUUGGAUUAGCUAGUUGGUAGGGUAAAAGCCUACCAAGGCGACGAUCCAUAGCUGGUCUGAGAGGAUGAUCAGCCACACUGGGACUGAGACACGGCCCAGACUCCUACGGGAGGCAGCAGUGGGGAAUAUUGGACAAUGGGCGAAAGCCUGAUCCAGCAAUGCCGCGUGAGUGAUGAAGGCCUUAGGGUUGUAAAGCUCUUUUACCCGGGAUGAUAAUGACAGUACCGGGAGAAUAAGCGCCGGCUAACUCCGUG
rnacentral:rRNA from 1 species